rnacentral:rRNA from 1 species
CCCGCUGAACUUAAGCAUAUCAAUAAGCGGAGGAAAAGAAACUAACAAGGAUUCCCCUAGUAACUGCGAGUGAAGCGGGAAAAGCUCAAAUUUGAAAUCUGGCGGUUCUUGACCGUCCGAGUUGUAAUCUAGAGAAGUGUACCUGUGCUGGACCGUGUAAAAGUCUUCUGGAAUGGAGCAUCAUAGAGGGUGAGAAUCCCGUCUUUGACACGGACUACCUGUACAUUAUGGUGCGCUCUCAAAGAGUCGAGUUGUUUGGGAAUGCAGCUCAAAAUGGGUGGUAAAUGCCAUCUAAAGCUAAAUAUUGGCGAGAGACCGAUAGCGAACAAGUACCGUGAGGGAAAGAUGAAAAGAACUUUGGAAAGAGAGUUAAACAGUACGUGAAAUUGCUGAAAGGGAAACGCUUGAAGUCAGUCGCGUUGGCUGGAAAUCAACCUUGCUCUUGCUUGGUGUACUUUCUGGUUGACGGGUCAGCAUCAAUUUUGACCGCUGGGUAAAGUCUUUGGGAAUGUGGCAUCUUAGGAUGUGUUAUAGCCCAUUGUCGUAUACGGUGGUUGGGAUUGAGGAACUCAGCACGCCGCAAGGCCGGGUUUCGACCACGUUCGUGCUUAGGAUGCUGGCAUAAUGGCUUUAAUCGACCCGUCUUGAAACACGG